GAGGAACACAGAGAGACAGAGAGAGACAGACAGAGAGAUGCCCACGCCUGCCAAAGCUCCUUCUUUUUGCUUCCUCUCCUGACACCCUAUUUCUCUACAAUUUCCCCCUUCUGUUUAGAGCCACAAUCUCUUCUGAGUUACACCUGUGUAUUCAUGGGGCUGGUCUGGCAGUUACAGCUACUCCCCAGAAAUCUAGAAUUUGCAUUCUCUUAUCAUUUGAAUAUGUGCUUUUCUUAGAGCUGCUUUCAAGGCCUUUGAGUUAAAUCUCACUCACAACUCCUUAUUUAGAUCUUCCCUUUUUGUGUAAAUGGUUUCCUGGGAUUUCAACAGUUACUAAUCCCUGUUAGGCAGCAGCAGAAUGAAGAACGGGAAAGGCGUUUGUAAAAGCCUGGAGUGGUGGGCAAUUCAGAUACAUCUCCUAGGAGAGAAUUCAGAGGAGAGGAAGUUGGGAAGGCUUGAACAUGUACAACUGUUCCAUUGCUCUCACCUCAGAUGUACCCCCCUGUUGUCAUUUUGUUGGCUAUUUUGACAGUGACCUAAGUGGAAAAUGGGAUUGUUAACAGUACUUGCUUCAUAAAGAUGCUAUAAAAUUCCAGUGAAGCAAUUCUGGCAGGAAGUGCAGCACUGUGCUUGCUGCUCUGUGAUCCUCAACAAACACUGUCCACCUAUUGUUAUCAGAGUGUCAGCACUCCCGUUCUAGGAUUUCAGUCUCUCCCAAAGGCCUUUCUAAAUGAUUUCUAACGUCUGGGCUAAUGCACUAUGUGCUUCGUCUUAGGCUCAAGCACGGAGUGGAGGUUCAAUAGAUGAGAAGGCCAACCCCAGUCACGGCUUCUUCCUUGUACACAACUGGGAUAUCUGUUUGACUACUCAGAGAUCACAUGAGGUCCCCAACAGUGACAAAUUCUACAGACAAUGAAACGGAAGAAAAGCAGACACACUGUCAGAGGAAAUGGCAACCUACUGCAGCCAUCAUGCCAACCACUGCAGCUUUUCAACAACCGAACAAGCGGGAGAUUCAUGUAAGACUCAAAUAUAUCAUGCAUGUAGUUGUUUAUGGAAUGACUAACUGAAAUACACUCUUCCACUAAUGAGUUGAACUCACUGAGCAAUGUGUGUGAGAACAGCAUCGGCAGAUGGAAAACAGGAAUACAUACAUAACAUGGGAACACCCACAAACUGCUACGAUAUUCUCAAUGAAAUAAAGGAGCACAGCUGACAAGGGGUUUCUCUUAU
rnacentral:lncRNA from 1 species